rnacentral:lncRNA from 1 species
UGCGUUUGUUUGCAAGGAUUUGAUUUUCCAAAAAAUAUUUUCUUGAUUUUACGGUGUUUGGUUGCUUGAAAAUAAAUUACAUGGGUAAAAGAUUUUCCAAAACAAGGUAAAUUAUGUGAGUUUUUUUAGGGAAAAUGUAUUACAGAUUUUUAAUCGGUAAGACAUUUUCUGAAAAAUCUUCCUCCACUCUCACCAUCCGUUCUUCAUCCUUUCUGUAAGAUUUUCUAAAAAACGGUAAGACUUUCUCCUUCUUUCGUUCUUCAUCCAAUUUCCUUCUUCAUCCAUUUUGUAAAAGUUUUUCUAUUUAAGAAUCUUCUUCUUCCUUCUUUUUUCUACUUUUUUAAGUUGUAAUUAUGAUUGCAGGUUGGCUCAUCCAGGAGGACCUGUUUAAGUACUAUUUUAUUCUCCCUUCUUCAUUUGUUCUGUAAGAUUGGCUGUCAAUAAUGCUUAAAGCUACCUUCUUUCAAAGUACUCUUUUAUUCAUUUCUUUUUCUUCUCUACUUUUGAUCUGUUUAAGUUUUCAUUAAUAUGAUUUUUUUUGGAAUUUUUGCUUGAUUUUGCAUCACAGAUCUAAUCUAGUUCAUAGAAAAAUUAUUUGUGUGCUAAAAUUUGACCCUUUUUUUUAGCUAGUUUGUCAAAUGAACUCUAAUACUCUGUUUGUUUCUGGGUUUUGCAUUAUUAAGCUUUUUUUAUGCUUUAUUAAAAUGUAUGUGCUGUUUAGAAUAAAAAAAAUGUUAAGUUAAUUAUUGAUAACAGUUGUUAAGAAUGCUCAAUUUUAAGUAUGAAAUUGCUGAACUGAAUAUACUUAAAUUUGUCGAGGAGAUGGACUGCUACUGGUUGAAAUAAUGGGGAAUUAUGGGAGGUUAAAUGCCAAACUUUGGUCUCUGUCCAAAUGCUGGACUUUCAGCAUUUAAUUUCCCUAUUUAAAGAUGUUUUAAACUUGCUAAAAAUACAACAAUUGCAUAUGUUAUUUACUUAAUUAAAUAAAUGGUAGCGAGUUCUUUACAUUUUCUUCCUUGGUUGUUUUUUUGGAUCUUUAUGCUGGUAUUUGUGAUGGAAUUUUGAUGAAAUUUCUAGCUAUCGAGGGAUCUACUGAUUUAAUAUACUGCCUUAUGGUUGUUUAUUGUUGUUCAAAGCAUGAUGAAAUAAACGUGUUGGUGUUGCUUAAUAUCUUAGAAAAGAUAAGGGUUUCAUUGAUAUUGUGUUUCAAUGGUCUCUUGAAGACAUAUUCAACGAUAAUCUUUAUAUCAUCAUCAUCACCCUUGAAUCUUUGGUUUUCUUUUUUUAUUAAACCUUAUUUACGGGUUUUCUUUGCAGCUUUUGGAAUAUCCACUUUUAUGGAAGUAGAAAAUGAUUGCUCUUAUACUUAAAAAUAGCUGUAGCAGUGAACUGGAAUAAACUUUCUUUGUGUGUGUGUGUUGCCCUAGCCCAUUUCUGCAUUCUAUAUUGUGAACGUCUUGCUUUUAGUCGGUCAUUGGCAACUAGAUAAAAGUGGCAUAUAGUUACAUAAGUAGUGAAUCGUGUAUAAGACUUGUGAAAUUUUUGCUAACAAGGGAAUUAGGAACUAAUAGCAGCUAAAACACAAUAACUUGUUAUUUUCUUGCUAUAAAACUCUUUUGAAAUAUCGUCAAUCAUUUUACUCUUUCAGCAGCCUAUUAUUGCCAAAGCCAAUAUCUGCUCAUAAAAAUAAAGUAGCACUUGAUUAGCUCCCUUUUCUGUUGCCUGCAUCGUGUUCCCCAUUUAUAUAUACCAAAUUUUGACUGCAAUUCAUGAGGCCUCCAUUUCUAGUUCUUCUUCGAGGGGUUUAUAUUGAUACAAGAAAAUGACAAUAAGAAAAAAAAAUGAAGUCCAUUGAUACAAUAGCUUCUCUUGUCGUAGUUAAUUUGAACUAUAUAUAUAUGUAUGUAAUUUGUGUAAUAUAUUGUUCCAUUUUUGACUCAUUUUUCAUUGUAGGGUGGUAAUGGUUGAACCAGUUUUGUUUUUUGAUAUGUUUUAAACAAUUUAACAUUUUACUCUCCAAUCAUUGUGUUACUCUCCAAACUUUGUUUGAUUUCAAUUUAUGACGAUUAAUAUUCUAGCUUAAUAAUUGAGUAUUAUUAUAUAUUUAAUUUGAUUUAUUUAUUUAUAAAUAGAUCAUUGUAAUAUAUGUAAAAACAAUUUAAAAUAUAAAUUUAUUAAUUAAUAUAUGUAAAAACAGUUUUUUCAGAAAAUAUUUUUAGGAAAUUUGCCAAAUAACAGAAAAUAUUUUACACAGAUUCAUCCAAACACCAGAAAAGUAAACCAUUUUCAAAAAAGUAAAUCAUUUUCCGGAAAACAUUUUACUGACAAACAAACGGAGUCUUUGCAAUAUGUUAAUUUUUAUUUUAUUUAAUUUCUUGUCUAAGUUAAUGCUAAUAUUGUUUAAGAUAGAAAAUAAUUUAUUUUUAUUAAAAUAUUUAUUAUUUCAAAAUAAAUAUUAAUUUAAAUAAUUUAAAAUUAUAUUAAUUGAGUAAUUGUUAAUUAACUUUAAUGUAUUUAGUUAGUUAUAACAAUGUAAAAAGUUAGAGGACUCGAAUAGCAAUUUUAAAAAGCAGAAGUACAUAAAUAAUUUGUUAAAAAGAUGGGAAGUCGCAAUUGUAAUUAUAUCAUUUUUAAAAUAUGUAAAUAAUAAUUGUACAAAAAUAUAAAGGACUGAAUUGGUUAUUUAAAAUUGUGGGAGCCCAUUUAGAAAACGUAAAAAAUAGGAUGCCCUUACUUCUUAUUAAACCAUUUUUAUUAUACCAUUUAAACCUAAAUACUUUCAUUUCAGCAGUUCUCUCUUUUUUUUUCUAUAAAAAAAAACAUUUUUAAUCUUUCAUUUCAGGAUUUUCCUUUUCAUGCUAUAUUUUUUCAUAUUUUAUUUCAUACCUUUGUGAUAUUGAUCAAUCUCGAAAGUGUCCCCACCAUUGUUUUGGUAGUUUUGAAUUUGGCAAAGGUGUUUUUUUUUUAAAUAAAAUUUUUAUUUAAUUAAGUUCUAAGGCUUUUUUCUUUUAAACAUUAUGUUGACGGUUGUUGGGUGUGCCUCAUAUUUAUUAGAUGUUUUGCAGGCACUUAUCGGAGACAAACAUGCGACAUCACAACGAGGAGAUAUGUGACAUUGCGAUAACGUAACGAGCAAGGGACGACGUCACAACAAGGGUCGUCGGGACUAGGUGACAAUCUCUUGAGGCAAGACCAGGGGCGACGUGACGAAGAGAGUCGUGACAUCACGACGAUAUCUCCCCUAAUGUAGCCGUGUUUUAGACUCCAAGUAAGACUUUUUCUCCCAGUUGGACUCUAAUUACUUCAAGGUUAUUUUAGUAUGAUUAGACCUCUAAUCUUAGCCUAUUUAUAGGGCCUUUGCAACCCUAAUUCAGACAUGCCAAUCAAUAAAGGCUUUUCUUGAUGGCAACAUGUAACACCUUAUACCCGACCCGAUCGCUGAGUUCGGGUACCAAAUGUCACAAUUAACUUGAGUUACUUAACAACAUUUUUAAUUAAAUUUAUUUACAAACUUAAUCAAUGCCAAAUUUAAUUCGUAUUUACCAGAUAACAUUAUUCUAAUUUCUUAUAUAUCAACAUGUUUCGAAAUCUAACUUCAAAUAAACUUUCUAUAAUCACUAAUACUCUUACAAUCAUUUUGCCUUACUACGCAUGAACAAUUAUUUACAUGGACUUGAAACAUAAGACUUCAUUAUAAAAUAUGCUUAAUCAACCCCCGAUGCGUAGUCUCUAAGAGUACCCCUCUAUAGACAUGAAGCAACUAUUACGCCCUUCUUGUGAACUUGGCAGUGUUUGGCUUGGUCCCGUCCCAUAAUAACCUUGUCAGCCUUUGAUCUUGCAUCAAAGGAAACCACUCAUAAGUUCAAAUGAACUUAGUAAGAUGUCUUACAUUAAUUAUUUAUGAAUAACUCAAUGUUAUCACGAGUAUAAAGAUUUGAUGCGCGUAAGUAAACUCCCUGAAUUUCUUGUAAACCUUUAUAGUUCACUAGCACAAACGACGUCCAUAUGUUAAUACUCUUUCUAAAGCCCUUUUUUGGGGACGUGGCGUUGUCAGACUUCAUCUCAGAUUUUUAUGUUACCUAGCUGAAUUGGUGCAUCGAGAAACAACCACACCAGCAGAUAUACGAAUUGUCGACACCCUUUGGCGGACUUACAAAUACCUCACCACCAUAGCAGAUUCCUACCUUGUUCCCUUCAUUCCGUUUUGAACUCAUUAUCGACUUACUGUAUUAUCCCAACAUUUACUUUCUUAUAACUUGUGAAUAUACUCUUUCAAAUGAAAACCCGUUCUCUUACCUUCUCGUAUGAGGCCUUCGAAUAUAAGAUGAAGAAGCGAAUCAAUCAGAAUGGAGACAGGGGGGAGAGGCGAAAGAAAGAUUGUCGAGCCUGCAAGCAGCAAGCAACAACGGCUGAAAAGCCGUUGCGCGCUAGCUUAUAGUUUAGGGGUAUAGUAGGGGUGCCCCUUUCUAAAACUUAUAUUUAAUAUAAGGUAAGCUUUUUUUGGAACUUUCGUUUUGGAGUUUUCCCCAACCUAUACCUUACUAAUAUUACUAAAAAAUAGGGGCUUACGUUUUUCAGCCGCAUCGCACUUCCGCAUAAACAAUGGAUCCGCUGGGCUGGAUGAGCAACCUUCUCUGGAAAAUAAUAGUGACUUCUAUCUCGUGUAUGUAUACUUGUAAGAUGGUCCUACUAGUCCUUUCCUCAUCAAGAUAGCCUGAAUAAAUAUUUCCUUAACUAGCUAGUCAUGCUGGACUUCCCAACCAUUGUUAGUUCCCAAUGGACUACCACUUCGCUAGAUCAGAUUAGGCAAACUUCCCUUUUAUAAGUUAGUCUUUAGUGGACUUCUUAACGUUAGAUAGUCCCAGUAGACAUCCUCUUCCCUUGAUAUUCCCUAACAGACAUUCCACCUAAGAUAGUUCUUGGUGAAGUUUCCACCUUUCUAACGACCUAUUUGCCAAUAAACACUUUGGAAAUAAGAUUUGAAAGCCAUCCUGCUUUCUUAUAACUCAUGUUGGUGUGUGCAUCUCCUCUGGCAGACUCUUAAUGGCGAAUACAUAUUUGCAUAUACUUUGAGAGAAAACCGUAUUCAUCUACAUUUACAUGCAUACAAGGGGUUUCCACCUUUUCCUCUUACCUCGUAUCUUGGUGAGACAUCAUAUCAUCACGCUUAUCUGUGUUCCCAUACACACUAAAACCGUUAUGUAAGACUUUUCGCCACGUGAAUCAUACAGUGAUUUCCACUUAUAUGACCCAACGGGCUUCCCUGUUUACUACCUUGACAAAUUCCAUUCUACCAUGAGGCGUAUUUUUCCUCCACUAGAUUGUACCAUGGCUCGCCAUGGACUUUGUUGGAAACUGGCCAAGUGUGUUGAAACUCCAACAGACUUUCAACUUCGAAGAGUCAGUAAACCACUUUUGAGGUGUCACUUCGAAGAGCCUGUAGAUAACCAUCUCCAACCAAUCCUCCUUAAGUCUUCUUUCAAUUCACCCAUUCCUCCAUUACGCCAAGGUUUUCCUAUCUUCAACUACCUGACCAAUUACUUCCCUCUGUACCCUACACUUUAAAGACAAACAUAACACACAUAUCAUCACAUUCACUAUCAUAGCAGGGAGUAUGCCACAUAAUAGUUUAUAGAUAGACAACUAUGUUAUACAUUUAAAGAACAAACUUGCAAGCAUUCAUAUAUUUACGCAGCUUUAUGCAAACAUAACUUUCUCGUUCACCAAAAUCAUAUACAACCAUAGAAUUCAAACUGAACUUAGAGCAGACAUACAAGCAAAAACAUUCAAGCAGCACAACAUCUAUUCAACACUCAAAAGUAGAGUACAAAAACUGAAUCCAGUCUCAUGCAGAAGUUUCCAAAGAUUUCAUACACGUUUAACUUCUCUUUUUCUCAAAUUCACUAAUACAGUAAGAUUAAAAAGCUUACCAGUUCACCGUAUUCACUACAUUCCAGACUUAAACCUCAUGGUCAUUAUCCCAUACAGAGUUUUCCUCAACUUUCUCUUUUUCGGAGCAACCAAAGAGGACAAUGCAUAAGAGAAGAAAAUAAAACAGAAUGGAGAAGAAUUCUGCCUGUAGAAUGAUCCUUCUCGUACAUAUAUAUCCUCUUACACAUGGUUAUCAAAGCCCCCAAUAACUAAGGAACUAGCCGAUUCCAACUUAGCUAACUAGAAUUGAAAUCCAACUAUUUACCAUUCAACCACUAAAUUUUCCAUAUUCUUCAAUAGAGCCUACCAAAUCUACAAAUUCUUUCAAUUAACUCUUGAUCCUUCUUAAUUCCGGACUUUAAUAGGAAUCGGGUGUGACAUGACAAGAUGUAGUUGCAUAUAAAUUUUGGUGAGAGUUUUAAUGAGAAUUUCGUGGUAACUUUAGAGAGAAUUUUGUUCCUGAGUUAGAUUUUUGUUUUCAAGGUUUGGGUGAUGUACGUCUAGUACAUUUAAGUUUAGUUUUUCCAUAUUAUACUCUUAUCUAUUUACUCAUUUAGUGAAAAGUCAAAGCCUCCAUUGCUCGUGGUUUUUCCCUUUUUUGAGGGUUUUUCACGUAAAAUAUUUAUGUUCGUGCUUCUCCACUUUAACUAUCUUGUUGUUUAUAAGAGUCGAUCCCAACAACGGUGAUAAAUCUUAAUAAAACAUGUUUUUCUUUUUAUAAAUUGUUUGUGUAAUUAAUUAUUAUUCUUGAAUAUUGAAAAUUUAUUAGAUAUGAUAUUUUUUUAAAGAUUUUUUUAUAUUUGUUAUUUUUUCUUAUAAAAAGAGCAAGAUUUCUCGUAUAUUUUAUUCUUUCACUAAACAUCAAGUUUUAAAACAACGGUUGAUUAACCCAAGUAUCAACCACUGUACUGCAUGGACAAUAGGCAAUUUCUUUUAUAAGGCCAUUUAGUCACAAUAGGGAGAAGUUAGAAAUUUUUUAGAGGGGUAAAAAUUAAAUUAUAAUUUUUAUAAUAGUAAAAAUAUAAUUUUAUCAUUUUAAUAGUUCAUAUAUUUAUAAUUUUUAAAAGAUUAAAUCAAAUUAUAUCAUUUUUAAGGGGAUCAAAGUAUAAUUUUAUUUUUACUAUUUUUAAAUUUUUAAAUUUUUAAAUUUUUAAAAAGUAUAAAUGAAAUUUUUUUUAUAGCUAGCACCUAUAGCUACACCCCUCUUCUAUAUCUGCAUGUUUAUAAUGUAUAUAAAUAUAUGGCAUAAAUGCAUAAUGAAAUUGUGGUAAUUAAAGUUGAACUUUCCUUGUUUAAAGAUUGGAACAAAAUUGGUGGGUUUUAAUAGAUGGGUUAAUAUGAUUGGUUUAGGGCCUACCAAUCCAGGCCUAGAGUGAAGAAACGGAAGCCGUAAAGUCAGCAAUCUACGCCGCAAACCAACUGUAAUGGCGUCUUUUACGGGAUAACACCCACACCAUGAUUAAUAAAACCCACUCCCACAAGAAACAUUGGUCGGCAGUUCCGUAACACCCCAACCUCUCCCCCAUUUCACUAAAUAAUAUACAACCGACAUACAUCUACAAGUUGAAAUUGAGUUGAAUCUAGCUACUUGCAUUUGUUGGUGGGAGGUUGUCUUUUGUACAUUCACAUGUUGUUAGUACAUAACACAUGUGAAUUUGGGUCCUACUCCCAAACCAAAGAAAAAUAUAAAUGAUGCUCUUUUAGGAAUCAAGAAAUUGCAGGAUGAUUCUUAACCUGUUUUGUGAUUGCUGCACUCACUUACAUGACUUUUUACUUUUUAUGGAUAGUUGCGAUUAUAAAAAUAAAACGUUAACAAAACCCGUAAUCUUCACUGCUAAGUGCUAUGCUAUGCAGGUGGCUAAACCAGAAGCGGAAGAGUUGAGAUUAGGCAAAAAUCCAGCUUCCUUUUUCUUCUUCUUUGGGUGACAACAAGAAUCCUAUUCUGAUCAUCAUGCCAUACAUAUGAGAAGAAGUUGGCCUGGGAAUAUAUAAUAUAUAUAUAUUAGGAGUAUAUACUUAUUGUCUGUCUUUUGUUCCCUUUCCCAACACAACCAAAACCAUUCUUUUUAUCACAACACCACAUUAAUUAUAUACAUACAACAAUCAUUUUGAAUGGAGAGACAUUGAGAAAGAAUCUCUUUACUUUUGAAUGUGGUUUGGAACUGAAACCCCUUUAAAUAAUAAUCUCAAUCACCUCUCAUAGAU